rnacentral:rRNA from 1 species
UGGGGAAUAUUGCACAAUGGGCGCAAGCCUGAUGCAGCCAUGCCGCGUGUAUGAAGAAGGCCUUCGGGUUGUAAAGUACUUUCAGUCGGGAGGAAGGUGUCAAGGUUAAUAACCUUGGCAAUUGACGUUACCGACAGAAGAAGCACCGGCUAACUCCGUGCCAGCAGCCGCGGUAAUACGGAGGGUGCAAGCGUUAAUCGGAAUUACUGGGCGUAAAGCGCACGCAGGCGGUUGAUUGAGUCAGAUGUGAAAUCCCCGGGCUUAACCCGGGAAUUGCAUCUGAUACUGGUCAGCUAGAGUCUUGUAGAGGGGGGUAGAAUUCCAUGUGUAGCGGUGAAAUGCGUAGAGAUGUGGAGGUAUACCGGUGGCGAAGGCGGCCCCCUGGACAAAGACUGACGCUCAGGUGCGAAAGCGUGGGGAGCAAACAGG